UGGGGAGUCGUCUAACGGCAGGACAGUGGACUCUGGAUCCACGAGUCGGGGUUCGAAUCCCUGCUCCCCAGCAA
rnacentral:tRNA from 1 species